UACGUAGGGAGCAAGCGUUGUCCGGAAUCAUUGGGCGUAAAGAGCGUGUAGGCGGCCCGGUAAGUCCGCUGUGAAAGUCGGGGGCUCAACCCUCGAAUGCCGGUGGAUACUGUCGGGCUAGAGUGCGGAAGAGGCGAGUGGAAUUCCUGGUGUAGCGGUGAAAUGCGCAGAUAUCAGGAGGAACACCUAUUGCGAAGGCAGCUCGCUGGGACGUAACUGACGCUGAGACGCGAAAGCGUGGGGAGCAAACAGG
rnacentral:rRNA from 1 species